rnacentral:misc_RNA from 1 species
GCGGCUCUCAACUGGGGGCCACAGAAUGUAUCCCAGUUGGUGGGAUCCCGAGGCGCCAGGGGAUCCGGUGCUGUCUCCAAGGCCACCUCCGGAGCCAGGAUAUCUACGUUGGAAUACAUGGGACAUCAAGCAGUAUACAGGCACUACCCAACCCACCCUGACCCUUUCCUGGGGCAGUUUGACCUGCAGAAGUCCAGUUUGGGCCAACUCCUUUGGAAUUGGAAGAAUGAAGGUAUCCAGAAUGGACACUAGAAAAUGAUCCAUUAUCUGCUGUCUGGCGUGGAUGUCCUGGAGAAGGUGGCCAGCUGCCAGCCAGACUGUGACUGUCGAUUAGACGUACAACAUUGUGAGGGUCAUCAACGUCACGGGUCCAUACCAGAACGGCUGGCAGUCGGAGAUGACGGCACUGCGUCUCCAAGGCCAUCUAGUAGAUCCGGGAUGUCUAUGUCGGAAUACAUAGGCAUCAGGCAGUACACAGGAUGUGGACAAUGGAGAUAAAUUGACACCAGAUGAAGGAGUGGCUAAACAAGAGAAUGAGAGGAUACUGUUCCAUGAUCUGCUGUCUGGCGUGGAUGUCCCGAAGGAAGUGGCGACCCGGCGACUGUACUUUGUGACCAGACCAACAACAUUGUGAGUGUCGACGUCACGGGUCCAUGCGAGUUGGUGACAGGGGCCAGAGAAUUUUUUUAAUUUUGUGCAGGCAUGUUACCCAAGCCACCCUGACACUCCUGGGGCAAUUUGACUAGGGCCAACUCCUGCGGAAUCAGAAGUACAAAACAAGCUGCGCAAUCGUUAAGGUCAGCCGGCCACAGACGCGCCGCCGCUCAGUACGAUGUUGACUGUGGAACAAAAAGCACAGUGCGUGAUUUGGUCCAGCCAAGAUGUCCAGAAUGGCGUUGGAGAUCAAUAGACAACACCCGCAGGAGGUGGCCAGCUGCUGCUCGGACUCUGUGACUGUCGACCGGACCAACAAGCACCAAACCCUUCCCUCAAGGAAUAUGCGCAUUUACGGAGUAUGCAAAAUCUCAACAAAUUACGAGGGAAACAUGAAAAUAUUUUGAAUAAAUUAAGUAAAUUUAAAUAUAUUUCUAGUUUUUCAUUCAGUUUUAAGGUAAUGUUAAUAUAUUUAUAAUUAGUUGAGUUAAUUUACAUGUAUUUAUAGUUAGUUAAGUUAAUUUAAAUAUAUUUUUAGUUAACUUAAUUUAAAUAUAUUUAUACUAGUUGUUAAGAAAAUUUUGAUUGAUAGAACUAGUAAAAGUACACAUAUUUUACACAUAAUUAGAACUGAGCAAGGGCGCACCAACGAGGGGAAGGGGAAGAAAUGGUCCGGUCUCGCAGCAACUACAAACGGUUAGUUAUUACUAUUUCUUGUGGCUUCUACCUGUACCUGGUAUAGAUAGCCGCUUGGUGAAUGGCGUGCGGCUGACGCAUGCGCAGAGAAGCCUAUCCCCCUCUUUGCCCGGCCACGUGGUGCAGUACAUUCACAGGUCGCAUUUGUUUCGUUCAGUCUGUCUUCUGCUGCUCGUUCUGUUUAGUAGUGUCUGACAAUUGUGAUUGUUUUGUUUAUGUGCGACAGUACGUUACUGUAGUUGAGUUAAUUUUGAUAAAUAAAAAUUGUUGUAACUAC